UGUUUUUCUAACGAGUGGAUAUGUUCACGUGAAUUUUUAACUCCUGGAUGUUUACUUUCUUCUAACAGAAACUGGACCUUUGACUAUGAAACAAGACACACCACCUAGUUUGGAUUGAAGACUAGCCGGAGGAUAAUGCCGCUGUCACGUUAUACAUGAUCUUUGAAAUCUUCAUUACCAUGACAACGUCUUCAUAUCUAACCGGAUGUUGUACCUGCGCGGCGGUUGUUUGUUGUUGCUUCAUCGGGAGUUGUGCUGUCAUCUGCUGACAUAAACAA